UACGGAGGGUGCAAGCGUUAUCCGGAUUUACUGGGUUUAAAGGGUGCGUAGGCGGGCCAUUAAGUCAGUGGUGAAAGCUCCGAGCUUAACUCGGAAACUGCCGUUGAUACUAUUGGUCUUGAAUUCGGUCGAGGUUGGCGGAAUGUGUCGUGUAGCGGUGAAAUGCUUAGAUAUGACACAGAACACCGAUUGCGAAGGCAGCUAGCUAGACCGACAUUGACGCUGAGGCACGAAAGCGUGGGGAUCAAACAGG
rnacentral:rRNA from 1 species